CCUACGGGUGGCAGCAGUGAGGAAUAUUGGUCAAUGGACGAGAGUCUGAACCAGCCAAGUAGCGUGAAGGAUGACUGCCCUAUGGGUUGUAAACUUCUUUUAUAUGGGAAUAAAACGUUCCACGUGUGGGAUUUUGUAUGUACCAUAUGAAUAAGGAUCGGCUAACUACGUGCCAGCAGCCGCGGUAAUACGGAGGGUCCGAGCGUUAUCCGGAUUUAUUGGGUUUAAAGGGAGCGUAGGUGGAUUGUUAAGUCAGUUGUGAAAGUUUGCGGCUAAACCGUAAAAUUGCAGUUGAAACUGGCAGUCUUGAGUACAGUAGAGGUGGGCGGAAUUCGUGGUGUAGCGGUGAAAUGCUUAGAUAUCACGAAGAACUCCGAUUGCGAAGGCAGUUCACUGGACUGCAACUGACACUGAGGCUCGAAAGUGUGGGUAUCAAACAGGAUUAGAUACCCUGGUAGUC
rnacentral:rRNA from 1 species